rnacentral:rRNA from 1 species
AGAGUUUGAUCAUGGCUCAGGACGAACGCUGGCGGCGUGCCUAAAACAUGCAAGUCGAACGGACUUAGGGGCUUCGGUUCCUAAGUUAGUGGCGAACGGCGGAGUAAUACAUAAGCAACCUGCCCCGAAGACUGGGAUAAUCCUUCGAAAGGGGGACUAAUACCGGAUGUGGCUCCUUGGGGACAUCCCUGGGGAAUUAAACCGAGCAAUCGGCUUCGGGAGGGGCUUGUGGCCUAUCAGCUUGUUGGUGGGGUAACGGCCUACCAAGGCUUCGACGGGUAGCUGGUCUGAGAGGACGAUCAGCCCGACUGGGACUGAGACACGGCCCAGACUCCUACGGGAGGCAGCAGUUAGGAAUAUUGCACAAUGAGCGAAAGCUUGAUGCAGCGACGCCGCGUGGGGGAUGACGUCUUUCGGGAUGUAAACCCCUUUUGUCGGGAAAGAACUAAGACGGUACCCGGCGAAUAAGCCCCGGCUAACUACGUGCCAGCAGCCGCGGUAAUACGUGGGGGGCGAGCGUUGUCCGGAAUUACUGGGCGUAAAGAGCGUGUAGGCGGUCGGUCAAGUCGGAUGUGAAAUCUCCAGGGCUCAACCCGGAAACUGCAUUUGAUACUGACUGACUUGAGAGAUGAAGGGGCAAGUGGAAUUCCCGGUGUAGCGGUGAAAUGCAUUGAUAUCGGGAGGAACACCCGUAGCGAAGGCGGCUUGCUGGGCAUCCUCUGACGCUGAGACGCGAAAGCAGGGGGAGCAAACGGGAUUAGAUACCCCGGUAGUCCCUGCCGUAAACGAUGGAUACUAGGUGUGAGUGGUCUUAACCCCGCUCGUGCCAAAGCUAACAAGCAUUAAGUAUCCCGCCUGGGGAGUACGGCCGCAAGGUUGAAACUCAAAUGAAUUGACGGGGACCCGCACAAGCGGUGGAGCAUGUGGUUUAAUUCGAUACUAACCGAAGAACCUUACCCAGGCUUGACAUCGAUUGUAAGCCCGAGAAAUCGGGCCCCCUACUCACAAGGUAGGCAUGAAGACACCUGUUGCAUGGCUGUCGUCAGCUCGUGCCGUGAGGUGUUGGGUUAAGUCCCGCAACGAGCGCAACCCGCAUCCUAUGUUGCCAGCGGAUAAAGCCGGGAACUCAUAGGAAACCGCCGGGGUAACCCGGAGGAAGGUGCGGAUGAUGUCAAGUCAGCAUGGCGGUUACGCCUGGGGCUACACACAUGCUACAAUGGACGCAACAAAGGGUUGCAAUACCGCAAGGUGGAGCUAAUCCCAAAAAUACGUCCUCAGUUCAGAUAGCAGUCUGCAACCCGACUGCUUGAAGAUGGAAUCGCUAGUAACCGCAGGUCAGCUAUACUGCGGUGAAUACGUCCCCGGGUCUUGUACACACCGCCCGUCAAGUUAACUGAAUCUGCUGUACCCGAAGUCCGUGGCCCAACCG